UUUCUACUCCCUCCAUCCAACAAAAAAUGUCUCAAGUUUGUCAAAAUUUGAAUGUAUUUAGACAUGAUUUAAUGUAUAGAUGCAUUUAAAUUUGAUCAAAAUUGAUACAUAUUUUGUUGGACGGAGGAAGUACACA
rfam:Brachypodium distachyon strain Bd21 chromosome 1, whole genome shotgun sequence.